UACGGGGGGAGCAAGCGUUGUUCGGAUUUAUUGGGCGUAAAGCGUCCGCAGGUGGCUAUACAAGGCUGCUGUUAAAGCGUGGGGCUUAACUCCAUACAGGCAGUGGAAACUGUAAAGCUAGAGUCUGGUAGGGGUCACGGGAAUUCCCAGUGUAGCGGUGAAAUGCGUAGAUAUUGGGAAGAACACCAGCGGCGAAAGCGCGUGACUGGGCCGGAACUGACACUCAUGGACGAAAGCUAGGGGAGCGAAAGGG
rnacentral:rRNA from 1 species